rnacentral:rRNA from 1 species
AGUGAACGCUGGCGGUAGGCCUAACACAUGCAAGUCGAACGGCAGCACAGUAUGAGCUUGCUCUUACGGGUGGCGAGUGGCGUACGGGUGAGGAAUACAUCGGAAUCUACUUUUUCGUGGGGGAUAACGUAGGGAAACUUACGCUAAUACCGCAUACGACCUACGGGUGAAAGCAGGGGAUCUUCGGACCUUGCGCGAUUGAAUGAGCCGAUGUCGGAUUAGCUAGUUGGCGGGGUAAAGGCCCACCAAGGCGACGAUCCGUAGAUGGUCUGAGAGGAUGAUCAGCCAGACGGGAAGAGAGACAGGGUCCAGACACCGACGGGAGGCAGCAGUGGGGAAUAUUGGACAAGGGGGGAAAGCAGGAUACAGCAAAACGGCGUGGGUGAAGAAGGAGUUAGGGUUGUAAAGCCAUGUUGUUGGGAAAGAAAAGAAGCAGGUUAAGACGGCGCUGUAAUGACGGUACCCAAAGAAGAAGCACCGGCUAACUACGUG